rnacentral:rRNA from 1 species
CAGUAGCGUAUAUUAAAGUUGUUGCAGUUAAAAAGCUCGUAGUUGGAUUUCUGGCCUGACGAAACUGACCCGCCGCGGUUACGUGUGUGAGUGUCGGGCUUCGUCUGCCAUCCUUCCAGAAAACGUUUCUACCCUUCACUGGGCGGGAUUCGCGAUCUGGAACUUUUACUUUGAAGAAAUUAGAGUGUUCAAAGCAGGCUUGCGCUGUGAAUACAUUAGCAUGGAAUAAUAAUUUAGGACUCAGGUCUUAUUUUGUUGGUUCUUAAGAUCUAAGUAAUGAUUGAUAGGGAUAGUUGGGGGUGCUAGUAUUCAGCGGCCAGAGGUGAAAUUCUUGGAUUCGCUGAAGACUAACUUAUGCGAAAGCAUUCACCAAGGAUGUCUUCUUUAA